GUGCUCACUGCAGCAGCCUCUAUACUAAACGGAAAGCAAUAGAGUGAAGAUUAGCAUGACCCCUGCUUAGGAGGAUGACACGUACAUUCGUGAAACAUUCCAUGUUUUU
ensembl:snRNA U6 U6 spliceosomal RNA